GAUGAGCAAGCUCGGCGUGCGCAAUCUCGCCGGCUACAACAACAAGAUCGAGGACGCGAAGAAGCGCGAAGAGAAGAUCCCGAAUCCGUUCAGCCUGACGCCGGACGAUCCGGAGCCGCUCGGCCGGCUGCCGAACAUCGUCGUCGUGAUCGACGAGCUGGCCGAUCUGAUGAUGGUCGUCGGCAAGAAGGUGGAGGAGCUGAUCGCGCGGAUCGCGCAGAAGGCGCGCGCCGCGGGCAUCCACCUGAUUCUCGCGACGCAGCGCCCGUCGGUCGACGUGAUCACGGGCCUCAUCAAGGCCAACGUGCCGACGCGGAUCGCGUUCCAGGUGUCGUCGAAGAUCGAUUCGCGCACGAUUCUCGACCAGAUGGGCGCCGAAUCGCUGCUCGGCCAGGGCGAUAUGCUGUACCUGCCGCCCGGCAGCGGGCUGCCCGUGCGCGUGCACGGCGCGUUCGUGUCGGACGACGAAGUGCACCGCGUCGUCGAGAAGCUCAAGGAGCACGGCGAGCCGAACUACAUCGAGGGCCUCCUCGAGGGCGGCACGAUCGACGGCGACGAAGGCUCGGCCGCGGGAACGGGCGAAGCGAACGGCGAGUCCGACCCGUUGUACGACCAGGCGGUCGAGAUCGUCAUCAAGAACCGGCGCGCGUCGAUCUCGCUCGUGCAGCGCCACCUGCGCAUCGGCUACAACCGCGCGGCGCGGCUGCUCGAGCAAAUGGAGCAGUCGGGGCUCGUGUCGGCGAUGUCGUCGAGCGGGAACCGCGAAAUCCUCACCCCCGCGCGCGACGCGGAGUGAAUCCGCGCCGGCGCGCCUGCCGAACGCGCGCCGGCCCUCUACGGAGAAAACCACAGCAUGCAGCAUCAGUCGUUGGCAGUUCAUACCGGCUCCGGCUCCGGCUUCGCGCCGAAGCACGGGUUUGCGCGCGCGCUGCGCGCCGCGCUCGCGGGCGCGGCGUGCGCGCUCGUCGCAUCGCACGCAUUCGCGAGCGGCACCGAGCAACUGAAGGCGUUCGUCGCGAAGGUGCACGCGGCGAAGGGCGAGUUCACCCAGCAGAUCGUCAAGGCGCCGCCGAAGGCGGCGAGCGGCGCGGUGCCGACCGUCAAGCCCACCGACAACUCGAGCGGCAGCUUCGUGUUCUCGCGGCCGGGCAAGUUCAUCUGGACGUAUCAGAAGCCGUACCAGCAGGUACUGCAGGCCGACGGCGACAAGCUCUACGUGUACGACAAGGAUCUGAACCAGGUCACCGAGCGCAAGCUCGCGGGCGCGCUCGGCGCGAGCCCCGCCGCGAUCCUGUUCGGCAGCAACGAUCUCGACAAGAACUACACGCUGCGCGACGCGGGCGAGAAGGGCGGGAUCGACUGGCUCGAAAUGGUGCCGAAGGCGCAGGACACGCAGUUCCAGCGGAUCGGCAUCGGCUUUCGGAACGGCAUGCUCGCCGCGAUGGAGCUGCACGACGUGUUCGGCAACGUGACGCUGCUCACGUUCACGAACAUUCAGACGAAUCCGCCGCUUAAGGCCGAUCAGUUCAAGUUCGUCGUGCCGAAGGGCGCCGACGUCGUCACCGGCUGAGCGGCCGGCUGCCUCGGCCGACGAACGGGCCCGCCAGCGAUGGCGGGCCCGUUCGUUUCGGCGCGCCGCUUCGCGGCCCCGCGCCGCCGCCGCGCCGCCGCGCGGGGCGCGGCGUGGCAUCGGGCGGCGCGGCUGUCAUAAUGUCCGGUCCGGCGGCGAAUGCGCGCCGCCACCGUUUUUCGUGGGAGCCAAGGUCCAUGUCCGACCUGUUUGCAGUCGAACCGCGCCGGCCGCUCGCCGAGGCGCUGCGCCCGAAGACGCUCGCCGACGUGAUCGGGCAGACGCAUCUUCUCGGCGAAGGCAAGCCGCUCAGGCUCGCGUUCGAAUCGGGCAAGCCGCAUUCGAUGAUCCUCUGGGGGCCGCCCGGCGUCGGCAAGACGACGCUCGCGCGCCUGACCGCGCUCGCGUUCGAUUGCGAGUUCAUCGCGCUCUCGGCGGUGCUGGGCGGCGUGAAGGACAUCCGCGAGGCGAUGGAGCAGGCGCGCGACACGCUGAACCGCACCGGCCGCCACACGAUCCUGUUCGUCGACGAAAUCCAUCGCUUCAACAAGGCGCAGCAGGACGCGCUGCUGCCGUUCGUCGAAUCGGGGCUCGUCACGUUCAUCGGCGCGACGACCGAGAACCCGAGCUUCGAGGUGAAUUCGGCGCUGCUGUCGCGCGCGCAGGUGUACGUGCUGAAGUCGCUCGCGGAAGACGAGCUGCGCCAGUUGCUCAAGCGCGCGCAGGACGUGGCGCUCGGCGGGCUCGCGUUCGACGACAAGGCGGUCGACACGCUCGUCGGCUACGCGGACGGCGACGCGCGGCGCUUCCUGAACCUGCUCGAGCAGGCGCAGACGGCGGCUUCGUCCGCGGGCGUGACGACGAUCGACGCGGCGUUCGUCGAGAGCGCGAUGACGAUGAACGCGCGCCGCUUCGACAAGGGCGGCGACAACUUCUAUGACCAGAUCUCCGCGCUGCACAAGUCGGUGCGCGGCUCGAGCCCGGACGGCGCGCUGUACUGGCUGUGCCGGAUGCUCGACGGCGGCGCGGACCCGAAAUACCUCGCGCGGCGCGUCGUGCGCAUGGCGUGGGAAGACAUCGGCCUGGCCGAUCCGCGCGCGAUGCAGAUCGCGAACGAUGCGGCGCAGACCUACGAACGGCUCGGCUCGCCGGAGGGCGAGCUCGCGCUCGCGCAGGCGGUGCUCUAUCUCGCGUGCGCGGCGAAGAGCAACGCCGGCUACAACGCGUACAACGAGGCGAUGGCGUUCGUGCGGCAGGACAAGUCGCGCGAGGUGCCGGUGCAUUUGCGCAACGCGCCGACGAAGCUGAUGAAGGAGCUCGGCUACGGCCACGCGUACCGUUACGCGCACGACGAGCCGAACGCCUAUGCGGCGGGCGAGACGUACUUGCCGGACGGCAUGCGCGAGCCGCGCUGGUACAGGCCGGUGCCGCGCGGGCUCGAGACGAAGAUCGCCGACAAGCUUGCGUGGCUGCGCGAGCUCGACCGCGACGCGGGCAAGAACGACUAGCGGCGCCGACGCGGGUGGCGGCCGUCGC
rnacentral:rRNA from 1 species